rnacentral:tmRNA from 1 species
GGGGGUGAAUUUGGAUUCGACGGGAAAGACCUUAGGGUUAAAACGCGAGCCGAGGAGCUGCCAGGCCUCGUCAAAAGGCAGACCUAAACACAAAUGACAAAACAUUUGUACACAGCGGAAACGCUGAAUUACUCGUAGCUUAAUUAAGCUAUGAGCGUCUCCCACCUCAUGUCGGUGGAGGUGACGUGACGAUCAUUUACCGACUGGUCUUGUGGUUUUGAUUGGGGGCUAUGAGAUGAGACUAUACCCGGUCUCGCUUCUUAUCUCGCCUGUUCUUGGGCGUAUGAGAAGUUAAAACCUAAACAAGAACUACGCUCGUAGUGGGUUAAUUCAAAGCUUUUUCGGACACCGGUUCGACUCCGGUCACCUCCACCA